AGCAAUACUUCGCUGACACGGGAAUGGAUCCGAAGCCUCCAGAAGGCUAACAUAGGCUCUCCGUUGCCUACUCCUACUAAAUAUUCACUACAUUCCUACAGAACGGCAACUUGUUUCUCAAUUAUCCAAACUUGAUGCAACAUGCAACCCCUUGGGAAGAUGGAAGGAAUGGCAAAAUUAGGCUGG
rnacentral:ribozyme from 1 species